rnacentral:rRNA from 1 species
AGCAGCCGCGGUAAUUCCAGCUCCAAUAGCGUAUAUUAAAGUUGUUGCAGUUAAAAAGCUCGUAGUUGAACUUCGGAAUUUGCCCAUUGGUCAGGCUUAACUGUCUGCACUGGUGUGACGAGUUCCUACCUUCUGAGGAAUCUCCAUGUCAUUCAGUUGGUGUGGGGGGGAAUCAGGACUGUUACUUUGAAAAAUUAGAGUGUUUAAAGCAGGCAUCUGUCUGAAUACAUUAGCAUGGAAUAAUAAAAUAGGACGGCUUGGUUCUAUUUUGUUGGUUUCUAGGAUCACCGUAAUGAUUAAUAGGGAUAGUUGGGGGCAUUAGUAUUCAAUUGUCAGAGGUGAAAUUCUUGGAUUUAUUGAAGACUAACUACUGCGAAAGCAUUUGCCAAGGAUGUUUUCAUUAAUCAAGAACGAAAGUUAGGGGAUCGAAGACGAUCAGAUACCGUCGUA